CAGAAAAAACACAUAUAACAACUGUCGCUCCACCGACGCUCGCAGAAUUGAACAUUUUGAAAGAAAUUUUAAAAACCUCUGAAACCAUUGAAGAACGAUUUUGCAUGAAUAAUUGCAGUGGAAGUGGUAGUUGCGUCAACGGAACGUGUCAAUGUAGCUCGGGUUUCGGCGCGGUCGAUUGUUCCAUUGAUCUUAAAAAACCACCAAUUAUAUCUGGGAUAUUAGAUCAUGGGCUUUGUGACCAGAGCAAGACGGACUGUUCUAAGAUUGUUGUCUUUGGUGGAGAAUUUACAUCGUCUAACUUGACUUGCCGAUUGAACACAUUUUAUUUUGACAUACACGGGACACCUCACAAUGAAAGUAGACAUGAAGUUCCUGGGCACGCUGAAACAAUUGUGGAGACAAUAUGUCCUCUCCAUGGAUUACGGCAACGUAGAUCCAUUGACAAUAGGUUUGUUGUCGGAUUCCAUGUAUCCGUAAGUAACGACGGUGAAAACUACGAUGACCACAAACAAGGAUUAGCCUACAUAUAACUCGCAAUGCCAGACGUAUUGUUUUGCAAAAGAUACAGAAUGGAUAUACACGUUUUCACUGAAGGAUGGGUUCUGCUUUAUCGAAGGCCAGUGCUACUAUAACGGCACUUUUCACAUUUCACAAAAGAUGAUAUGUGAUCCUCUCGCAAACCAAACAUCAUGGACAA